GGCAUGUAACAGCCAACAGCCAACAACCAAGUGGAGAAGACAAGCUAGCUUGCAUUUUUAGCUAGACACAUUACAAGUAUGAGGAUUCUGAGAGGAUGUGUGCUGGGGACUGAGGGAGAAAGUUGGUUUAAUGUAGGCUACAGAGCAAACGUUGGUUAACCCUAGGGGAACGUUGUUAACCACAGGAAACGCCCUGGUAACCACAGAAUGGGGAUAUUAAGGAACCAGGGAGAGAUAUGUGAGACCUGCUAGCUGCCUAGCUAUAAACUAGCUGUGGAAACUCCAGCCACACGGAAAACUAGUAUCGAACUGUGAGCAGAGAGACGUGUGAUGACUGGAGGAACGCGGACGCCAGUUGCCAUGAGUUACUGAGAGCAGAACUGCGACUGCUUCCUCUCAGCGCCAAGAUGGAGGCCUUUAUCUACCAAAAGAAACCUGGAGUAGCUUGUUCCUGCAGUCUGGGCGUGUCCACCACCGUGACCGUUCCUAGAAGCCACACCUUUCACUCCUUAUCCAAUCAGAGCCCUGACCACGCCCAGGAGGAGGAGGAAGGGUCGCCACGGCAACGGCGCAUCACAGUUGCAUCAUUCAUGCCACAGUCUAAUGACCAGAAUGGAAACUUCCCAGAGAAGAGGCAGAGCUAUGUGGGGCUGAUAUAGCCUCCAUAGACCUCAACACCCUCGAUGUCCUUCACAUCUCCAGCCUGCAGGAGAGAGAGCAGCUUUUGUCAGCCGUCUACAGAGAACUGCACCCACCAUCCACAACCUCACAGAGACUGGACUUACUACUGGAAACCUUGGGUCCUAAUAACGUAGAGAAAUUCACAGCAGCAUUAGUGAAUAUGAGCAAAUCGAAGUCCUCUCCGCAAAUAAGCUGCCUCAACAUUAAUCCAAUGAAUUCCUUCAAGUUCAACCCUAACCCUUUGGUCCAGAGGAACUCUCAGCUGAUGGAGACCACCAUAAACGCGUCGGAGCAGAUUGUGCACCUGCGUACCCCCAGAGAGACCACAGUGGGGAAGGUGAUGGAGUCGUGUUUUACGAUGCUGGGAAUGACUGAUAAUAAGGACCUCUUCAGCCUCACCGACAAACGAGGUUCUUCAGAGGAGCUGAUACCAGACCAACAUAUAACAUAUAACAAAAAGGAGGAGACAUCUAAAAGCGUAAGCGAGGCCCCACCCACUGGUGUUAACGGUUACCGUGACAACGGACAUGUCAGUCAGAACCACCAGAUGCAGCC
rnacentral:lncRNA from 1 species